UGCAGCGCUGAUUCUGAAGAGAACGCCUUCACAUAGGACUCAAAGGAAAUCAGUGCUUAAAGGAAACAGCAGUCCAGAGUCUGAUUCCAGCUCCGAAGAUGCCCUCAGAUUCAGAUCCAUCAACAACCCCUGACAACAUGGAGGACUCGUCCCCUGAGCGUUUCCUGUCCCCUCUCGAUGGAGUUCUUCUCUUCAGUCAUUAACUCUUGAAAACAGCAGCACAACAUGCCAGACUGUUUGACAAGUCUGUGAUUGAAUAAAUGGAAAUGGAAUCUCAUGCAUAUCUUGCUAUGCUUAUUGGCUUUAAAUGUUUAAUAUUAAAUAAGUUUGAAGGCCAUUCAUCUCAGACCGGCUGUGACAAGCUGAGCUCGUCUGUUAGCUUUGCUGUUGUUGGUCAAGAAGAAAUUAAUGUCAGUUCAAAGCCUUUUCAAAUGUGAGCUAUAAACUUAACUGCUAAAUUAUUUUACUGUGACCAACACGUUGUAGUGCUCCAGUUAAUCAGAGACAAUCAUGUCAGAUUUAAAAAAAGUUUAUUUAAACAUUUUGUUAAAAAAAAAAUCUUCAAUAAACGACCCCCGGCUUCAUUAACCAUGUGGAAAAUAAGUAAGGGAGACCAUCAGGUCAAACUGCUGGAACAUAGGAGAAAGUAUGAAAAAUAAUUUAACAAAGAAAUCCCAACAAAAAUCAAAUAAAUUAUAAAGAUCCUGGAUGAUUGUUUGACUGUUAAAAUAUGACGGAAAAGCAAAUCCAACACAACCCUCCAGCAUCUGGCCUUUUAAACACAGGGCAACAUCAUGGAAAGAAAAAUAAAUUAAAUAUUGACCAGGAUCUCUGUGUUUUCUCUGAGGAUGACUGUGGUAGCCUUCUCACUGUUCACUGUCACAAAGCACCAGACUCUGUCCACCUUCUCACUACGUCGAUCAGCUCCUCUGGGUGAUGGCAGAGAGGACUCUUCAUCUGGGAGAGCUGCUGGUGUAAGGUCAUUUCUACCACAGUGGAUGAGCAGGG